rnacentral:sRNA from 1 species
CUCUCUCAAACCCUAACUCUACACUCUCAGAUCUCUCUGCAACCCUAACUUUAACUCUCCACUCUCCUCUAUUUUCACUUUCAUACGCAGAAUCACUUUCGAAUCUUGGGGUUUCAUCCUCCUCUUCACUUUUCCUUCAUUUUUAACCGAUUAAAACCACUUUUCUACUGAUCAAAACCCUUUCUGUCGUUUGUUCUUCGAUUUCCAGCGAUUCAACCUCUAUUUGCGUCGUUUAAACACUUUUGUACUGAUCAAUCUUGUGUUUGAACCGAUUAAUCGGUUCAUUUUAAGUUUCUCCCUAUUUUUAGGGUUCCUUAGGUCUAGAUUAGGAAGCUUCGAAGGAGUUCGAGUCGAGUUUGCGUCGCUCUUUUGGUCAUCUCCUCGGAGGCUCUUCCGUCAAGUGGCUGCAAAAUCAAUCACACCUGACGGCGUUUCGGCGUUGCUACUCUUUUGAAACCCAAAAAAGAGGCUGGAUUGAAGACUUAAGGUGCUGUUGGGAUUGUUUUUGAACCAAAAGCAGGAAGUGGUGACAAAAUCUGCUGCGGAGAUUCUAAACGAUCAACAUAGAAAGUGAGCAUUCUUCUUGUGUUCUUGUUUCAUUUCAAAUCGUUCUGAGAUUUAAUGGUUUUUCAUUUUGAUUUUAUUUAAAAUUUUUCCCUCUUUUAUUUUAGUUUGGCUCCUGUAUGUAGUUUUUUAGAUCAUGAAAGUUGCUUUAAUGAAGAGGCAACAAUUAUCAGUGGAGCAUUAGAUCUCACAGAGAAGAUAGUACUAUUGGCUUGGAGAAAGCCAUUAUGAUAGUUCUAUCUCUUGCCAUCUAUAUGUUACAAUUUGAUGGUUGUCAUUUCUUUAAAGACUACCUACAUCAGAAUAUAUGAAUGGCGUGAAAUUUGCUCCUGAUAUACCUGGAAAAGUGAAAAUAUACUGUGCCAAUGAGACAAUUUAUGCCCCUAAAUGUAUGAUAUUUUGGCUGUGUUUAAAGUUGUAGAUCAUGAGUGCCUAAGUUAGGAGAGCAUGUUUUUCUGGUAAAGAAGUAAUUAUCAUAUGAUUUUUCGAAUUUUAAAUCUAAAUUUGUAUGUAUGGUCAUUGCUUCAUCAUCCAUGCCAGUUCCUUUGCUUAGCAACUGGACAUGUUCUGAAGAGCUUUAGCUGGGUUCUCUUUAUUGUUUUACGGUAACAAUCCCAGUAAUAGUAGUCUAUGGAUGUUAAUUUAUCCACUCUUUCAGGACAAUCCUCUGUUUCAGUUUCAAGAUAAAUCCUAACCCAGAUAUAUCUAUUAUAUUGGCUUGAUUUUAUAAUA